rnacentral:rRNA from 1 species
UACGGGAGAUGCAAGCGUUAUCCGGAAUGAUUGGGCGUAAAGCGUCCGCAGGUGGCUCAUCAAGUCUGCUGUUAAAGACAGAAGCUUAACUUCUGAGAAGCAGUGGAAACUGGUGAGCUAGAGUAUGGUAGGGGUUGAGGGAAUUCCCAGUGUAGCGGUGAAAUGCGUAGAUAUUGGGAAGAACACCAGUGGCGAAGGCGCUCAACUGGGCCAUAACUGACACUCAGGGACGAAAGCUAGGGUAGCGAAAGGG